rnacentral:rRNA from 1 species
GACGAACGCUGGCGGCGUGCUUAACACAUGCAAGUCGAACGGAAAGGCCCUGCUUUUGUGGGGUGCUCGAGUGGCGAACGGGUGAGUAACACGUGAGUAACCUGCCCUUGACUUUGGGAUAACUUCAGGAAACUGGGGCUAAUACCGGAUAGGAGCUCCUGCUGCAUGGUGGGGGUUGGAAAGUUUCGGCGGUUGGGGAUGGACUCGCGGCUUAUCAGCUUGUUGGUGGGGUAGUGGCUUACCAAGGCUUUGACGGGUAGCCGGCCUGAGAGGGUGACCGGCCACAUUGGGACUGAGGUACGGCCCAGACUCCUACGGGAGGCAGCAGUGGGGAAUAUUGCACAAUGGGCGGAAGCCUGAUGCAGCAACGCCGCGUGCGGGAUGACGGCCUUCGGGUUGUAAACCGCUUUCGCCUGUGACGAAGCGUGAGUGACGGUAAUGGGUAAAGAAGCACCGGCUAACUACGUGCCAGCAGCCGCGGUGAUACGUAGGGUGCGAGCGUUGUCCGGAUUUAUUGGGCGUAAAGGGCUCGUAGGUGGUUGAUCGCGUCGGAAGUGUAAUCUUGGGGCUUAACCCUGAGCGUGCUUUCGAUACGGGUUGACUUGAGGAAGGUAGGGGAGAAUGGAAUUCCUGGUGGAGCGGUGGAAUGCGCAGAUAUCAGGAGGAACACCAGUGGCGAAGGCGGUUCUCUGGGCCUUUCCUGACGCUGAGGAGCGAAAGCGUGGGGAGCGAACAGGCUUAGAUACCCUGGUAGUCCACGCUGUAAACGGUGGGUACUAGGUGUGGGGUCCAUUCCACGGGUUCCGUGCCGUAGCUAACGCUUUAAGUACCCCGCCUGGGGAGUACGGCCGCAAGGCUAAAACUCAAAGGAAUUGACGGGGCCCCGCACAAGCGGCGGAGCAUGCGGAUUAAUUCGAUGCAACGCGUAGAACCUUACCUGGGUUUGACAUGGAUCGGGAGCGCUCAGAGAUGGGUGUGCCUCUUUUGGGGUCGGUUCACAGGUGGUGCAUGGCUGUCGUCAGCUCGUGUCGUGAGAUGUUGGGUUAAGUCCCGCAACGAGCGCAACCCUUGUUCACUGUUGCCAGCACGUUAUGGUGGGGACUCAGUGGAGACCGCCGGGGUCAACUCGGAGGAAGGUGGGGAUGACGUCAAGUCAUCAUGCCCCUUAUGUCCAGGGCUUCACGCAUGCUACAAUGGCUGGUACAGAGAGUGGCGAGCCUGUGAGGGUGAGCGAAUCUCGGAAAGCCGGUCUCAGUUCGGAUUGGGGUCUGCAACUCGACCUCAUGAAGUCGGAGUCGCUAGUAAUCGCAGAUCAGCAACGCUGCGGUGAAUACGUUCCCGGGGCU